GCUCCCGCCACCCGCCGGGACUCGGGAGAGGCCGGACACGGCCACGCGCGGCGCCCCCUGGAGCGGCGGGACGGCAGUGAGGGGAGCGGCGAGCGGCGCGGCGCUUAGGGGAGGCUGCAGUCGGGGGCGGGACGCAUUGUUUCCCCAGGGGACCUCCCAGGCCAAGCCUGCACCGGCGCCCGCGGGGCCCCCCCGGACACCGUGAGCUCCAGCCGCCUUCUGGCGCCGCUGCCACCCGGAGCCCCGGGACGGCAGCAAGGACCACGGCCCGCCGCACUGGGUGGGCAGGCCUUCCCCUACGAGCCCCGGCACGCCGCCCCCUCUGUCCCACACGGAGCCUGCAGCGGUAUUUUAAGAUCUCUGUGGUGAACCGAGACUAGAAAUGAAUCUGUGAAUCCACCACCGAAACAGUAUGGGAACCAUGUCUAAUCAACCAUAGGAAGUGGCCAAAGGAGGAAGCAGGAGUUUGUGGGUCCAGUGUGGAGGAGACAAAGACUGGACUGCUGUUCCACACCUUCAGAACACUUUGGCUUCUGAUAUUCUGGAGAAACCAGUGUUAUCUGAGUGUUAAAGCUCAGUUAUUAAUCCUUUCUCAGAGUUCCGGGAUAAUGUUAUUAGCUUUCAAGCAUGUGAUGCAUCCCAAGAGAGCUGUUGACUUCCAGUCUGACCAAAUUCUUUCACGUUGUGGCGUGUACGAUGUAUAAACGUUUUGGAAUGCCUCUGAGACGACUUCUGCCGCUCUGAAGGUGUCCAUGUUGGAGGGUAUCAGGGCCCCAGCUUUCACUGGAGUCUUCACUAACUGUUGAAACAGCCCAGGACAAAUUGGCAUAGUGCCCUGGCAUCCUGAUGUGGCGGUGCACGUAGUUCCAGACUGACUUGUCAUUUAUCAGUAAACGUGAAUGGACAUUCUCCUCUGCAGAACUCUGGAGGCAGUACAAGAGAGAAGACAGACUGAGGUGAGGAUAGCGUUGUUCCUGCUUUUCUAAACGGAUUGUUGAGGGAGGAGGGAAGAAUUAAGAAAAGCUUCGCAGAAGAGAUGAUGUUUUCACUGGUCUGAAGGAAGAGUAGGGUUUGCUGGGCAGAGGGGAACCGCAGGGAAUAAGCAAAGGCAUGGAAGCACAGUGUUACAAGGUGCUGGGAUCAUGGAAGUGUUUAAGCAUUACAGUGACAUUAUAAUAUUUGUGUUUAGAAUUCUUCUCUGGAAGUGUUCUGGGCCAAGGAGGAUGAUUGUAUGUGGAAAUAUUGAGAGAUAUUAGGGACAGGCAGAAAAAAUAAGGGACUCCCGAUAAUAGACAAGAUUAGUGGAACUGGGGUGGAGGAAAUGUAUUUCGGAGGUAUUUGGGGACAAGGUUUUAUGACAACUGGGCCCUGAAGGUGAAAGGGAGAAAUUUUAUUCAAUAACAACUUCCUGCUGAAUUUACAAUCCUGGCUAUGCCAUUGACUAAUUGUAUGACUUUUGACAAGUUUCUUAACCUAUGACGGCUUCAGUUUCCAACCUGUAAAAUAAAGACACUGGACUAGA